rnacentral:rRNA from 1 species
CAGUAGCCGCGGUAAGACAGAGGAUGCAAGCGUUAUCCGGAAUGAUUGGGCGUAAAGCGUCUGUAGGUGGCUUUUCAAGUCCGCCGUCAAAUCCCAGGGCUCAACCCUGGACAGGCGGUGGAAACUACCAAGCUGGAGUACGGUAGGGGCAGAGGGAAUUUCCAGUGGAGCGGUGAAAUGCGUUGAGAUCGAAAAGAACACCAACAGCGAAAGCACUCUGCUGGGACGACACUGACACUAAGAGACGAAAGCUAGGGGAGCAAAUGGGAUUAGAUACCCCUGUAGUCCCUGUCUCUUAUAC